CAGCCCGGUCAGCAGCCCCGACCAAUAAGGACGCGCCGCGUGGCAAGGACACGCUGACUAGGGACGGGCCACGGGGGCGAUCCGCGUACGCGCGAUCGGACGGCCCAGAUCCGUUCCCGUGCGCACGGACGGCCCAGAUCAAACGUGUGCACGGACGGCCCAGAUUCACGCGCACGGACGGUCCAGAUUCAAUCAAGCACGG
rnacentral:lncRNA from 1 species